CCUUAAUCCAACACAGCUGAUUUAAUUGGCUAAAUUACCCCCUCAACAUCUCAUGAAGUUCUCCAGAGGCCUGGUAAUGCAUUAAUCCUCUGACUCAGGUGUGUUGACCCAGGCUGACAUCUAAAACCUGCAGAACACCUGCCCUCGAGGCCUGGAGUUCCCCACCCCUGAUCUAAACAGGCAACCGAAGUUGAUCCAAAAUAAAAAUCAUAAUGAUUUAGUGUUUAUCAAAAUGUGUUCACAAUUCAUCUCACAAAUCAUAAAACACUGCUCUCCCUUAUAAGUAACGGUAUGGUAUCGGUAUCCACAAUACCAAAAGCAUCAGAUUGAUACCAAAAUUUUCAGACAUCGGAGGAAAAAACAUGAUGAAGAAGGCAAAAGCAAAAAUAAAAAAGGCGACAGAAGUAAGUCCGAAUGAGGAAAUGAGGAGAAGAAAUAGUGCGAGCCAGACGCACGUGCUUUAUUACCUUAUGAAGAGCAGGUGUUGUGUGAUGAUGUCAAAAGACAGACAGCCAAGCGCAGCACGAGUCUGGCUCGAGUAGAGAUCAUCAACAUAACUCCUUAAUAACCACAUCUCAUAACGGUUCCUUGAAGAAAUGAUAAAAAAAUUAAUAAAUAAAUAAACCCAAAAAAGAAAACACACAUAUCGGCACCCAUUAAUUUAUACACAUGACUAUUACCAAUGAGAUUACCAAACUGACUCUCUGUCCAUGAGUUAAACUGACUAAAGUGAGUUGAAAUGUCAAUUCUUCAGAAACAGACCUUCAUAAAUAACUAAAUAAAUAAAUAAAUAACAGAUUUACUUAACUGCAAUUACAGCCUGUUCUGCUGUGUUAAUGUGCACUUAAUACUGCGUGGGAGGGACCAAGUCAUCGCUGCAGAAACAUGAGAAAAAAAUCGUGCGUGUCUGAGAUGUGCUUUAAGAGCAGGAAGGUGAGAAGGACGCAAAUGCUAGAGUCUGGCUACCGCGGUGCUGGGGACAAUUUGCCAGUUCAAUUUAUGACUUUAUUAAGCAGCUCGUUCCAUUUGCCACAGAGGAGGCCGCAUUCCCCGAUGUAUCCCUAAUUCUGUGACAAAUUCAGAAAUAGCGCAAUCCUUUGGGGACUGAUAAAUAGGUUUCCGAGCUGUCUGGAUUGUUGUGUUGACAUUGCAUCUGAUGUCACUUCACCUGUUUCCUAGAAUCGUGCUUUUUACUGAUUAUUAACGCUGCAUCCAUUUACUGCCGUCGUCUGUAGCUCUAUUCCAACGCUUCCAUCGUUCCAAGACAAUUUCUCUCCUUCCUCUUCC
ensembl:lncRNA